AGAAGGAGGAGCUAAUUGGAAGAGUUGUGGCUGAUAAAAUGCGGGAGACACGGAGGGAGCUCGAACGCCAGUGUGGAGUGGGCGCAAGCGCAAGAGCGUGGGACGAGGAGAAUAAGGAAGUGAGAGUGGGACGCAGGGAGCAAAACCCACAAGCCAUUUUCAGUGGAGGAGACAGACAGACAGACACAAAGGUCUGUGUUCCAGACAGACUCACUGAGGAUCCUGGUUGGUCUGCACUGAUUCCACGUCUUGCUUUCUCAUAAGUCGAUUUCUAUCAAAUUAGGCAACUCACUUCCGUUGACAAAAAAAAAAAAGCAUAGAAAGGCAACUCACUUCCAACCAACAAUAAAAUAUUUUUUCUAUUUGGUUGUUCAACGAUUUAUCUUAUUUCUUAUUUAUUUUUCAAAAUAUGAAACUUGUUUUAACAAGUGAUGAAUUCAUCACAAAUAUUUAUUCUUUCCAUAAGAAUUCGAGAAACGUGUGAUUGACCGAUUAUACUUAUUAUUGUUAUAGCUAAGCUAGUAUAAUACAAUUUUAUAUAAUUUACUAGGGUCGGCCCGCCCUACGGGCGGGAUAUUCUUUACUUGUAAUCAAGAUUAUUAUUUUUAUAUGAUUUGUAGUUUGUGUUUUAGGUUACAUUUUCAAGAAAUGUAUAUGAGAUAUAAUAUUUUCUUAAUUUAAAAUUACCCAAAAAACUAAUUUUUACUAUUAGCAUAAUUUUUCUCUCUCUCUCUCUCUCUCUCUCUCUCUCUCUCUCUCUCUCUCUCUCUCUCUCUCUCUCUCUCUCUCUCUCUCUCUCUCUCUCUCUCUCUCUCUCUCUCUCUCUCUCUCUCUCUCUCUUUCUCAAAAAUACAUAAAUAUAUCAGUUAAAGAGUAUUUUAAAAUGUUUAGCUUACUUAAAAUUUAAGGUGAUAUUAACUUUUAUUGUGUAUGUUUUGUUAUUUUUUUUUUAUAGAUCAUGAUAAUCUUAAUAUUAAAAUGUUCAUGAAUAGAUAAUAGUUUACAUAUUUUCUUUGUUUAUUUUACUGUAAUUAUGAUAAUUUUGAUAAUAAGUAAAAUCAUUUUUAAUACAAAAAUCUUAGAUUAUAUUUUUUCUUAUGAUUUACUUUUAAAAUUUCAUAUAUAUAUAUAUGAAAAUAGUGUUUCAUUUGACAUCAACCUAAAAUAAUAUUUUAGCACAUAAUUAAUAAUAUAAUAUCAAAGACAUAUAUUUGAAACUAAAUACACUUUUUGUGUAUUACUUUUUGGUUUUACCACUAAAGUAUCACCACUCAUAUUUUUACAAUCUAAUUUACGUUUUAAUUUUAAAAAUAAAUACAUUUAUUAUACUCUAAACCAUUACAAAAUCAAAAUCUAAAACAACACUCAUUUAAAUACAGAGAAAGUAAGUACAAUUUAAUGUCAUGAUAUUGUGUUAUGUUUUUUUGAACAAAAUAUUGUGUUACGUAAUAGUAAGAAAAUGUUUGAUAUAUUCUGGUGUUGUUGUUGAAUAGUCAGAGAGUGUGUCGUAAGUUUUUUUUUAAAAUGUAUUUGGCUGAGUUUGCGAAUUUACAUUUGUGAGUGUAAACUUCGUGAACAAAUUCAAGGGAAUCUGUAAACAUGGGUCUCUCAAAAUGUUUUAUCUUUGCCUGAAGUUGAUGAAAGCAAAACUAUGAUUACCUAUAACCCUGGGCAUUCGGUUAUCGCUUCGUUAAAGGAAUGAUUGAGAGUGCUUCAUUUUAUAGUUGAUAUUUACAAAAUAUUUGCUAGUGUUACCAUCACAGGAAAAAUAAAAAAGAAAACAAUAGUUAUCACUACAAAUUUCAAGAGAACCUGGAAAAUGAACAACAAAGAAAAUAAAAAACAGAGUGAGAGUGAACAUCCUUAGCUGAAAGGUGCACUGAAGCAGAAUUAGAGCUCCAGCAUAGACGACAUAAGCCGUGUUCUUUUCCGAGACGCAGCUUCCGCGUCCGGCGACAAGAAAAUAUAAAGGAAAUUAAAGUGACAGGUCAGCAACGAAUUAAAACAAAGAGU